AGGAGCACCGAUUCGAUUCCCCCGCCGUCCGCGAAGUCGUGGGCAGUAGUGCGGUUGGGAUAUUUCAGCCAGGCCCUGUAGUGGGUGUCUGGUGGGUGCAAAUGACAAACGUUGAGCCGGCGCGGGAAAGCGCGGGUGAUGGAACUGCCAGACACACUAUUGGGCUUUGAGACAACAGGCCCGUGCCCCUUUUUUUGGGGGUGGCAUCCGGUUGCGGGUGUCGGCGUGUUGUUGCCUCACUUUGGUGGUGGGGUGUGGUGUUUGAUUUGUGGAUAGUGGUUGCGAGCAUCUAGCACGCAGUGUGGCUGGGGGCCUUCGGGUUUCCGGUCUUGUUGUGUGUUGAUGUGCAAUUUCUUUUGAAACUCAUUUUUGGUUUUUGUG
rnacentral:misc_RNA from 1 species